rnacentral:misc_RNA from 1 species
UCAAACUUGGUCAUUUAGAGGAAGUAAAAGUCGUAACAAGGUAACCGUAGGUGAACCUGCGGUUGGAUCAUUACUGAGAUUGGAGUGGGCAGCUUUGCUGGCAACGGCGGCUGUCUCACAUCCUACAACACAUGUGAACUGUACUCGUAUUUGGCAAGUGAUGGCGUCUGCGUUUAGCAGUUUGUCAGAGUUUCCUGUCAUAGGAAAGCUUGCCACUGUUUUACUACUUUUGUUCAUUGUGAGCCUAAUUAAAUGCAAAAUACAUUAAAUGUAUGAAACAACUUUUGGCAACGGAUCUCUUGGCUCUCGCAUCGAUGAAGAACGCAGC